AGUCGAUAUAUAGCUCGGAAAUCGCAUUUCAGAUUCAGCCUGCAGAAUGUGUAAAAGUAUUUCGCGACAUUUGCAAAUCGUUACCAAUAAAAGCAAUAUUUUAGAAACAUCCAACGUCUACGACCAUACCACCAGGAAAACAUUAAUUCAAAUGAAAACACGGAAAAACUAAACAUAAACUAGAUUAUGAAAUCAAACAAAUUGUACAAAUGUAAAUAAAGUUAUUAAGAAAAAAAACCGGUUCUCGUCUGAUCACCGAAGUUAAGCCUGGUCGGGCGAAGUUAGUACUUGGAUGGGUGACCGCCUGGGAAUACUUCGUGUUGUAGACUUUCAUUUUUGCCAGUCGAUAUAUAGCUCGGAAAUCGCAUUUCAGAUUCAGCCUGCAGAAUGUGUAAAAGUAUUUCGCAACAUUUGCAAAUCGUUACCAAUAAAAGCAAUAUUUUAGAAACAUCCAACGUCUACGACCAUACCACCAGGAAAACACCGGUUCUCGCUCAAGAACCCUCUAAUAACUGAUGGUGAAAACGAAACCUUGAUAUACAAAGACUGGACAUCCGCUGGCAUAACGCGGAUUGGAGACAUUUGUUACGAGGCUGUGCCAGGAUUUGUUCCACUAAUCGCGAUUCAGGAAAUGCUUCAAGAGAAUGAGC
rnacentral:lncRNA from 1 species